CUACUUUUGGCCAAUGAGGUCGCAGGGUGUUAGAUGGGCGCUGAAUACGUGAGUGAGUGAGGCUGUACUACAGUUACGGCAAUGUUUCACAUGGAGAGGGGGUAUAAAAACCAGUGGAGGGAAGAGACCAAACUUCAUACCAGAGUUUGAAUCAAAGGCAGUCAAAUAGACUCCUGCUAUAACAGGACCCUUUGUGUGUGUUAGCUAUGUCAGGAAACCUGCACAUCUUUCUAUUUCUGCUUUUAGCAGACCCAGACUCCAUGUUUCUGGAUAUAUACUGUACUCCCACAGAGGGGACAGUGAGUACAGAGACAGGCCAGACGUCCUUCACCGACAAGCAGAGCACUCUUAGCGGUGACAAGAAGGAGCCGGUGAAUGAGGGCUUGAGCCUAGCUGAGACCGCUGGGGUGGCAGUGGGGACCAUUGCUGGAGUUGCCAUACUGGGUGGAGGGAUAUUUGCUGGUUUGAAGUUCACUGGGAAGCUGGGCUAGCCUUAUAACUUUGGCAGUGCAUUAAUCACCUUCUAGAAUGUCCAUAGAUUGGAUUUUGCACAGAAAUAUGAUGGAGUCAUGCCUGUUCUUUGGUAUUACACAAAGUACAGGGAACAAUGCUUAUUCUGUCAGAUGUCAUAUGCCUUUAAUUUCAGUUUUAAUAUUAAUCAUUGAAGUUUGUCAGAUCUGCUGUAAAUGAUAAAAGAAUAAAUGAGAUGAGAUAUAUGCUUACAUACUUGAGAUAUAGGCUUACAUUCUUUACAUACUUUACAUAAAUUCAAAAGUUUAAAAAGUGUAAAAGUUUGUUUUAAAUGUUGUAAAAGUACAUUUUAAAUAUCCCUGCACAUGUAUUUCAAUGUUUGUAAAUUGUUUGGAUUUAUUUUAAUCUUAUGCAAAAGUAUAUUGUGUAUUUGUUGGACAGUCAAUUGCAGACCUAUUGGCAUGUUUUAUGAAAAUGAG